GCCCACCAGACUUGAGCUGGGCCGGGCCUUUGAAAUUAUGUUCGUAUUGGGCCCCACUUGAAAGAAAAAGCGCUCGGUUCUCAUGGAUUUCCUUGGAUCCCAGGGCAGAAUGAUUAACCACUCAUGGAUCUGGCAUCCUCUUACAAGAAGAGGUAUAUCGCCAUCUGAAAGGUGCAGCUGACGAGAGGUUGGAAAGAAGGCUUCGCAGGGCCACCAUAAGCAUGGGACUCCAGGAGCUUGCAAACAAGAGUGUUGACGCAUCUGGGGACAGCUUCCCCCACGACAUCUAACCCUUUAUCCUUUCACCUUCUGCUGGUGAAGUUCCACCAUCUUCUGUUUUGUGUUCGUUUGAUGUCAGUGUCACAGACUAAGUUGUUUAUGUUUCAAACGCAUGUGUUUAGUGAACUCAAGUCAGUAAGUUAUGUUUUCUGUGCUGUCUAGAUGAAGCUCCACUGCGGGUC